ensembl:lncRNA
CGCCCGUGAGUAGGCACUCAGAGCUAUGAGUUUUCCUCUUACCACAGCUUUCAUUGUGUCCUAUAAGCUUGGGAACAAGAUGUAGAACUCUCAGCUCCUCAUGCACCAUGUCUGGGCACUGCCAUGCUCCCGCCUUGAUGAUAAUGGACUGAACCUCUGAACCUACUGCUCUUAGUUCCGGAGAAGGUAGGCUCACUUACAGAAGGCAUUCUAGGGAUGAGAUUUCCAAGCAAAUGAGCGACUACAAUUGGCUGCACACUGGGAAUGUUUAAUAAGUUCACUCCGGAACCGCAGGCUGAGAACCUUGACUUGGACGUGUGAAGAGGAGAGAAGACACCCCACAUGCUAGUUUCCAGAAAAGGUUUCAAGGCUGGUGCAACUAAGACAUGUCAGAGGCUGCUCGAGGCUGCCCUUGCUGGUGCGGUGACUCCCACAGCAUCUUUCGUCUUUCCUGGCCAGUGCGCUCAGCUUGCAGACACGGCUGGGGUCACCACUCCAUGUAAUCCAACUCAGCUGUGGAAGACCGCCCCUGGAAAUGCACUUGAAAUUACAUCUCCCCUCUGGGUUUAUUGUCCUAUUGAUACUUGAGUUGUUCUGAGGAUAUGACUGGCUCCCUUCCUUGCCCCGAGUGGGGCAUCUGUGGUAACUUAAUGCCCUGCGCCCCCAG